ensembl:lncRNA
GUGGAGAGAGAGGAGAAAGGGGAGAGAGAGGAGAGAGAGGGGGGUGGAGAGAGGGGAGAAAGGAGGGGAAAAGGAGGAGAGAGAAGGGGGGGGGAGAGAGAGGAGAGAGAGGGGAAAGAGGAGGAGAGAGAGAGGGGAGAGGGGGAGAGAGGGGAGAGGGGAAAGAGGAGGAGAGAGAAGGGGGGUGGAGAGAGAGGAGAGAGAGGGAAAGAGGAGGAGAGAGAAGGGGGUGGAGAGAGAGGAGAAAGAGGAGGAGAGAGAAGGGGGGUGGAGAGAGAGGAGAAAGAGGAGAAGAGAGGAGAGAGGGGAGAAAGAUUAGGAGAGAGGGGAGAAAGAGGAGGAGAGAGCGAGUCUCCAGGCAGUUUUUAUUUUUUUAUUUUUUUUAUUUCACCUUUAUUUAACCAGGUAGGCAAGUUGAGAACAAGUUCUCAUUUACAACUGCG